AUGAACGCUGGCGGCGUGCCUCAUACAUGCAAGUCGAGCGCACGGACGAGAAGCUUGCUUCUCUGAUGUUAGCGGCGGACGGGUGAGUAACACGUGGAUAACCUACCUAUAAGACUGGGAUAACUUCGGGAAACCGUAGCUAAUACCGGAUAAUAUUUUGAACCGCAUGGUUCAAAAGUGAAAGACGGUCUUGCUGUCACUUAUAGAUGGAUCCGCGCUGCAUUAGCUAGUUGGUAAGGUAACGGCUUACCAAGGCAACGAUGCAUAGCCGACCUGAGAGGGUGAUCGGCCACACUGGAACUGAGACACGGUCCAGACUCCUACGGGAGGCAGCAGUAGGGAAUCUUCCGCAAUGGGCGAAAGCCUGACGGAGCAACGCCGCGUGAGUGAUGAAGGUCUUCGGAUCGUAAAACUCUGUUAUUAGGGAAGAACAUAUGUGUAAGUAACUGUGCACAUCUUGACGGUACCUAAUCAGAAAGCCACGGCUAACUACGUG
rnacentral:rRNA from 1 species